rnacentral:rRNA from 1 species
CAGCCGCCGCGGUAAUACCGGCGGCCCGAGUGGCGGUCACUAUUAUUGGGCUUAAAGCGUCCGUAGCCGGGUUGGGAAGUCCUCCGGGAAAUCUGGCCGCUUAACGGUCAGAAUGCCGGAGGAUACUCCCAGCCUAGGGAGCGGGGGAGGCCGAGGGGAUUCCCGGAGUAGGGGGGAAAUCCUAUAAUCCCGGGAGGACCACCUGUGGCGAAGGCGCUCGGCUGGAACGCGUCCGACGGUGAGGGACGAAGGCCAGGGGAGCAAACCGGAUUAGAUACCCGGGUAGUCCUGGCUGUAAACGAUGCGGACUUUGUGUCGGACAAGCUAUGAGCUUGUCCGGUGCCGGAGGGAAACCGUUAAGUCCGCCGCCUGGGGAGUACGGCCGCAAGGCUGAAACUUAAAGGAAUUGGCGGG